rnacentral:lncRNA from 10 species
GGUUAUCCAGGAGAAGACUGCCAAAUAGACUUCACCCACAUGCCGAAGACAAAGGGCAUCCAAUACCUGCUGGUAUCUUCAAAAUGACAAUGGACCCUCAUUUAAGGCAGCUGUCACACAAGGGGGUCUCAAAAGCACUAGGCAUAGAAUACCAUCUCCACUGUGCUUGAAGACCCGCAUCCUCAGGAAAGGUAGAGAAAACUAAUGAUAUGAUCAAGAGACACAUCAGAAAAUUAACCCAAGAAACUCACCUUCCUUGGGUCACUCUUCUUCUUAUGGCCUUACUACGAAUAAAA